CCUCCAAAGGGAAGCACUUUCUGUUUGUUGUCUGAGAGAAAACAAAGUGCUUCCUUUUAGAGUGU
rnacentral:pre_miRNA from 1 species